AAUUAAAAUUUCAUCAUUUUGUACUGUUAAAAACUGGCGUGGCUGACGAAAUAAUCAAACAGUGACAUGUGACAUACCACGUGUAACUCAUGCUGACGUACAAGAAUCAAUUUUUAACAGCAGAAAUAGAUGAAAUUUAUAAUA
rfam:Gossypium arboreum cultivar AKA8401 contig_21281_1, whole genome shotgun sequence.